rnacentral:rRNA from 1 species
AUUGAACGCUGGCGGCAUGCCUUACACAUGCAAGUCGAACGGUAACAGGUCUUCGGAUGCUGACGAGUGGCGAACGGGUGAGUAAUACAUCGGAACGUGCCUAGUAGUGGGGGAUAACUACUCGAAAGAGUGGCUAAUACCGCAUGAGAUCUACGGAGGAAAGAAGGGGAUCGCAAGACCUUGUGCUACUAGAGCGGACGAUGGCAGAUUAGGUAGUUGGUGGGAUAAAAGCUUACCAAGCCGACGAUCUGUAGCUGGUCUGAGAGGACGAUCAGCCACACUGGGACUGAGACACGGCCCAGACUCCUACGGGAGGCAGCAGUGGGGAAUUUUGGACAAUGGGCGCAAGCCUGAUCCAGCAAUGCCGCGUGCAGGAUGAAGGCCUUCGGGUUGUAAACUGCUUUUGUACGGAACGAAAAGCCCCGGGUUAAUACCCUGGGGUCAUGACGGUACCGUAAGAAUAAGCACCGGCUAACUACUUGCCAGCCGCCGCGGUAA